rnacentral:rRNA from 1 species
CGGAUGUGCCCAGAUGGGAUUAGCUAGUAGGUGGGGUAAAGGCUCACCUAGGCGACGAUCCCUAGCUGGUCUGAGAGGAUGACCAGCCACACUGGAACUGAGACACGGUCCAGACUCCUACGGGAGGCAGCAGUGGGGAAUAUUGCACAAUGGGCGCAAGCCUGAUGCAGCCAUGCCGCGUGUAUGAAGAAGGCCUUCGGGUUGUAAAGUACUUUCAGCGGGGAGGAAGGGAGUAAAGUUAAUACCUUUGCUCAUUGACGUUACCCGCAGAAGAAGCACCGGCUAACUCCGUGCCAGCAGCCGCGGUAAUACGGAGGGUGCAAGCGUUAAUCGGAAUUACUGGGCGUAAAGCGCACGCAGGCGGUUUGUUAAGUCAGAUGUGAAAUCCCCGGGCUCAACCUGGGAACUGCAUCUGAUACUGGCAAGCUUGAGUCUCGUAGAGGGGGGUAGAAUUCCAGGUGUAGCGGUGAAAUGCGUAGAGAUCUGGAGGAAUA